CCACGGAAAAUGCUCUGCGGGCGAGAGCGACUGGCAGUGGGGCUGGUUUCAAGGCAGGGAAGAGCCAUCGCGCUGCCCUCCCCCGCUGGGAUGGCGAGACAGGGCUGGCACGGCUCACGCUGUCCAGUGCUUAGAAAACCGGUAAUAGGGCAGGGCGCGCGGGCCCGAGGCGCUGCUCGCCGCAAUUUUUUGGCCCUGGGUUCCUUCAAGUGGAUCCAGCUUAUCAGUGUUUGUAGAUUUGGCUGCGUUUCGCUCCGCACUUCGGAGGAGAUGGCGUUUCAUGGGAAGAAAUGCGCUCUAGCAGAUGGCCGCCGUGGCCAGUCAGCCCUCCUGUGACGGACGAAGACGCUGGCCACAGACCUCGGCUCCAAAGAAAUUUGCACAGCCCGGCGCCCUCGGCCUGCCCAGCCCCGCGGCCGCGGCGACGCCCGUUAGGAUGUGGGCCCUGUGGGAGCGAUGCCCUUGCUGGUUCCUAACCCACGGCCUGGAACAACAGCUGGCCCGUGGCAAUGCUGAGCAAAUCUCCUGAAGGAAUGGUUUCGCCGCUCCCUACAGAAUGCCCCCGAGUUUUGUCGUAUAUACACAUACGUACUCUUUUUUUCCAAGUAUAUUUUAUUUCUUGGCAAACAUGGCCCUUUGUGGUCGCCGUGUUUCUCUCCUCCCAUCCAUUAUACAAUACUAAAUGAUCCAUCAUUUUUUUGAACAAAUCAAGCCGUUUCACACCUGCAAUGCAAUUGUACCGACCGUGCUCUUCCCUCUACUGCUGCAAUCCCCCAGGCAGAAGUCCUUUUCAUACUUCACAAAUUCCCACCCAGGCAAACUUCAAGCACCUUACCCCCUACCCCAUCCCACUCUGCCCAUCUCUAUUUGCUGUGGUCUGAACCCGCACAAAUGUCUGUGUAGUUUCUGCGCUACAUAACAAUUUAUAUGACAGUUGCUCCAGCCGUUCUGUGAACUCCUGAGGGGAAGGACCAGGUCUUGCUAGUCAUUUUAUUUCUAAUGUCUAUCAUACAGUAGAUGUUUAACAAAUGCUGUUGAAUAAUUCUGUCUCACA